rnacentral:rRNA from 1 species
AACGAACGCUGGCGGCAUGCUUAACACAUGCAAGUCGAACGCGUGGUCUCGGUUCGCCGGGUCCACGAGUGGCGCACGGGUGAGUAGCGCGUGGGAACCUGCCCCUCUUGUGGGGGAGUAACCGAGGGAAACCGUCGGCUAAUACCGCAUAAGCCGGAGAGAUCCGGGAAAGGAAUUUAUCGCGAGAGGAGGGGCCCGGCGUCGGAUUAGCUUGUUGGUGGGGUAACGGCCUACCAAGGCGAUGANCCGUAGCUGGUCUGAGAGGAUGAUCAGCCACACUGGGACUGAGACACGG